GGCGAUGCUGAUUCCUUACAUGGUGGGGAUCGUGGCUCUUGUGGUUUUACAAGCCAUUGGAUGGAUUAUCAUCUUCAUCCUCCUCGGAGCCGCAUCUAUCGUGCUGAUCGUGAACCUUGUCGUCUGGCUCCUAUUUACUGCCCUCAACAUCACGUGUCUUCUCUGCGUCAUCUCGCAAUACCAAGAACUUAGCGAAGGUCGAGGAAGGGCCAUGAUGACAUAAACAUAGCAACAUAAAACU